AGCCGCGGACGGAGCCGCCAUGGAGAUCAGCCGCUCAACAGCGACGAAGUCGACAUCGACGAGAAGAGGAAAUCCAACUUGAAGGAGAAGAAGGAGAAGUCCGUUCUCCAGGGGAAGCUAACCAAAUUAGCAGUACAAAUUGGCAAAGCCGUCAGUGAACUUCUCUUUUCUCUCCUCCUCUCGCCGUCUCGCUCUCUCCUCGCCGUCUCGCUCUCUCUCGCUCUCUCUCUCCUCCUCUCGCGCUCUCUCUCUCCUCCGUCUCGCUCUCUCGCUCUCUCUCUCUCGCCUCUCGCUCUCGCCUCCUCUCGCCUUCUCUCCCUCGCUCCCGCUCGCUCUCUCUCUCUCUCGCCGUCUCGCUCUCUCUCUCUCUCGCCGUCUCGCUCUCUCUCUCUCUCUCGCCGUCUCGCUCUCUCUCUCGCCGUCUCGCCUCUCGCCCUCUCUCUCUCUCUCGCCCUCUCUCUCGCUCCGCCUCUCUCUUCUCGCCGUCUCGCUCUCCUCUCUCUCGCGUCUCGCUCUCUCUCUCGCCUCCUCGCUCUCUCUCUCUCGCCGUCCGCUCGCUCUCUCGCUCGCCGUCUCGCUCUCUCUCCCGUCUCGCUCUCUCGCGCCGUCUCGCUCUCUCUCGCCGUCUCGCUCUCCGCCGUCUCGCUCUCUCGCCGUCUCGCUCUUCGCCGUCUUCCUCGCCGCCGUCUCGCCCUCGCCUCUCGCUCUCGCUCGCCGUCUCGCUCUCUCCUCUCGCGCCGUCGCGCGCUCUCUCUCUCUCUCGCCGUUCGCUCCUCUCGCCCCCUCUCUCGCCCUCUCCUCUCUCGCCUCUCUCUCUCUCCUCGCCCCCUCUCUCUCUCUCGCCCUCGCUCUCUCUCUCGCCGUCUCGCUCUCUCUUCGCCGUCUCGUCUCUCUCGCCGCCGCUCUCUCUCGCCGUCCGCUCUCUCUCGCCGUCUCGCUCUCUCGCGUCUCGCUCCUCUCGCCGUCUCGCUCUCUCGCCGUCUCGCUCUCUCUCGCCGUCUCGCUCUCUCUCUCUCUCGCCGUCCGCUCUCUCUCUCGCCGUCUCGCUCUCCUCUCUCGCCGUCUCGCUCUCUCUCUCUCGCCGUCCUCGCUCUCUCUCUCUCUCGCCGUCUCUCUCUCUCUCCCUCUCGCCGUCUCGCUCGCUCUCUCUCUCCCGUCUCGCUCUCUCCUCUCGCCGUCUCGCCUCUCUCUCUUCGCCGUCUCGCUCUCUCUCUCUCUCUCUCGUCCGUCUCGCUCUCUCUCUCUCGCCGCUCGCCUCCUCUCUCGCCGUCUCGCUCUCUCUCUCUCUCGCCGUCUCGCUCUCUCUCUCUCGCCGUCUCGCUCUCUCUCCUCUCGCCGUCUCGUCUCUCGCUCUCUCGCCGCUCGCUCUCUCGCUUCUCGCCGUCGCGCGCGCUCCUCUCCGUCUCGCUCGUCUCCCUCUCGCCGUCUCGCUCGCUCUCUCUGCGUCUCGCUCGCUCUCUCUCGCCGUCUCGCUCGCUCUCCUCUCGCCGUCCGCUCGUCUCGCUCUCGCCGUCUCGCGCGCUCCCUCUCUCUCCGCCGUCUCGCCGCUCCUCCUGCGUCCGCCUCGUCUCUCGCCCGUCUCGCUCCGCUCUCUCUCUCGCCGUCUCGUCGCUCUUCUCGCCGUCUCCUCGCCCCCCCCCUCCUCUCGCCGUCUCGCUCGCUCUCUCUCGCCGCUCGCUCGCUCUCUCUCGCCGUCUCGCUCGUCUCUCUCGCCGGCUCGCUCGCUCUCUCUCGCCGUCUGCUCGCUCCGCCGUCUCGCCCGCUCGCUCUGCGCCGUCUCCUCGCUCGCUCUCUCUCGCCGUCCUCGCUCGCUCGCUCCUCUCUCGCCGUUCUCUCGCUUCUCUCUCUGUCUCGCUCGCUCUCUCUCUCUCGUCGCGUCUCGCGCGCUCUCUCUCUCGCCCGCUCGCUCUCUCGCCCCUGCUCGCUCGCUCUCCGCCGUCUCGCUCGCUCGCUCUCUCCGCUCGCCGUUCGCCUCUCUCUCGCCGUCUCUCGCGCUCGCUCUCGCCGUCUCGCUCGCUCUCACCGUCUCGCUCUCUCGCCCUUGCUCGCUCCCCCCCGCUCUAUCCCCUCUCCCCCGUUGCUCUCUCUCUCUCCCCACUCUUUUGCGGUUUCGCUCUCUCUCCCCCCUUUCUCUUGCGAUCGCGCUCUCUGAGGUUCUGGUCAGUACUCUGUAGUCUAGUAGGAAGACCUGGGGUGUAUUCAUUACCACUUGCAUCUGAAACUGUUUAA
rnacentral:lncRNA from 1 species